AGUGAACGCUGGCGGUAGGCCUAACACAUGCAAGUCGAACGGCAGCACAGUAAGAGCUUGCUCUUACGGGUGGCGAGUGGCGGACGGGUGAGGAAUACAUCGGAAUCUACUUUUUCGUGGGGGAUAACGUAGGGAAACUUACGCUAAUACCGCAUACGACCUACGGGUGAAAGCAGGGGAUCUUCGGACCUUGCGCGAUUGAAUGAGCCGAUGUCGGAUUAGCUAGUUGGCGGGGUGAAGGCCCACCAAGGCGACGAUCCGUAGCUGGUCUGAGAGGAUGAUCAGCCACGCUGGAACUGAGCCACGGUCCAGACUCCUACGGGAGGCAGCAGUGGGGAAUAUUGGACAAUGGGCGCAAGCCUGAUCCAGCCAUACCGCGUGGGUGAAGAAGGCCUUCGGGUUGUAAAGCCCUUUUGUUGGGAAAGAAAAGCAGCAGGUUAAUACCCCGCUGUUCUGACGGUACCCAAAGAAUAAGCACCGGCUAACUUCGUG
rnacentral:rRNA from 1 species